UCAGCAGCAUCCUAUGAGUGAGAAAAUAACUCUUGGGAGGUCCUCCCUGGCCUCGGGGGCAGUCAUAGUGGGGAAAGAAUUUUCUGAGAGACCUGAGGGUUCACCUGGAGUGACCAACUCAUCCCUGUCUGCCUGCAGCUGAGUUUUAGCACUGAAAGUCUGUGUGCCCUGGGAGAAACCCCCCCCCCCAGGUCCCAAGCAAACCGGAGGCUGGUCACCCUCGUAGAGGAAGAUACGGGGUCUGGCCUCCCGCAGUUGGCAAGGGUUGGGCUGGGAGCUGUAAGGAAACACUCUGCUGUAUUUAAACGCCCUUGAGUGUCUCUAAACCACUUAGAUUUACAAAUCACCCUAGACCUAUUCCAACUCUGCCUAUUGAAAGACGGGAAGCAUGUCCUAUUCCUCUCAAUUCAAGUUGUUUCAAGUUGGGGUAGCAAGGUGAAGGGUUUUGUGAGAUUCGUUAGAUUUGUACCUCUGUGCCUUAGUUACCAACAAACUCACCAAUUGUGCCUGUUGAGACUUUUUUGGAAGUUUGAUUACCCCCUGCUUGAGGAGUUCGGUGUCAGGUGUUUACUCUUAGGCCUCCAUGAAAGAGGGUAGGUAGUUUCAAAGGUGAGGAACCUUCAAACAGAGCACGCAUGGUCGGAAGGAAGAAUUUGGAAUCUGCCUCUACGGGAGGUUGUACAUUUAUUUCAUUGUGUUUGUCCUCAGGACUGGUCAAUCCAGUGAGGUCAACGAAUGACACAGUUUUUGGUUCAGUUGCCAGCUUUGAUGUUCAAUCGAGGCAUCUUGAAUCUGUUCCGUUUGCAAAGCUUACUUUAGUUUUAAUUGAUACACGUGUUGAUGACUUUAACACAUUUCAGAGUUAAUAUAUCGACAUUUGUUAAGCCGUCUAGGUGUAGUUCCGAUAAAAAAUAUUUCGGUAGAAAUAGCGGGAGGUGUUUGUAUACUUUUCAUCUCCACGCUCGGAGGCUUUAGUUAACUUUGCAGUAAUUUAACAAGAUUUUAAUCUCUAGAGAGGACCACAAAGUGUUUAAGCGCCUUCAUCUGUCCCUAAGGGAGGCGCGCAGCAACUUUGCUUUGGCACAACGAGCUACGGCCAAGCUGCAUGUGACUGGCUUGUGGAUGCCACCACCCUUGGGUGAACAGUCUAAGGACCGAGCAGCCCAUCUGCCCAGCACCUCCCGGGACCCUACAUGCAGAGCACCUUGUGGGGCCGGGUUCUUCCUCCUCAGCCUCUCUGCUCUCACGGAGCCCUCUGACCCCCUGAAGAGACGGAAGGCUUGGCCGGUUCUGCCUUGCAGAUACUGUAUUUUCUGAGAGUGAAAUGUUUGUGCUGUUUUUGGAAUGCUCGGGGACAAAGUGUAGGGAGCCCUCUGGACUUAGAGCGUAGGGCUGCUCGGUGCUGAUUGCUGACGCACACUGGCGGGUUUGUCACAACGGGCUCUGAGCCUCAUCCUUGUGACAUUAUCUGCUGGUGGCUUGUGUCAGCGGCCACUGUCGCCUGAUGAUUCAUUUAGAAACGACGACGAAUAGCUGGCAGUCGUGCAAUGGUCCAACCGCGCGAAGUCCUCUUGCAACCGCAGUUUUAAAGCUGUAUUCCACCUCCCCGUACCCUGGGUGGCUCACUUUACCCGUUUGCAAAAGAGCUCUUUUUGCAGACGAUCCUCUGUGCCUGGCACUCAGGGUGACUUCAUUCCAGUGCUCACAGAAUGAGGGAACAGUGGGCCCGGUGGCGUCUGGGUACAUCGUCUUCCUGUCUUUGCACCCCAAUCCCACGUGUUUGCUGAACACCUCUUCUGUGCUGGGAAAUGACAUCCCUCCUGGGAACAGAAGUGGGUACACUCAACACCAAUGUGCAUGCCCAUGGACACUCGAGUUUAGCAGGAGGAGGUAGAUCAUAAACAGUGAUUGAUGUUCCUGCUUGUCAGAUGGAAGCCAUGCUGCCGUGAUGAACAAUCGCAGAGCAGAUGGGGGGGGGGGUUCAUGGUGCAAUUUAAAAUGGGGUCAAAAGUCAAAUUAAGCAAAGGUGGAAGGAGCGGGAGGGCUAGGCGGUGCAUCCAUUUAGAGGAGAAUCACUUAAUCAGGAGAAUUCUGUGCGAAGGUCCUCGGGUUGGACUCUGAUUUGUUCUAGAAACCAUCUUGUGGCCAGUAUCUGUACAGUGGUGAGGGGAAGGAAUUAGGGGGCGUGGCCAGAGAGGUUACUGCCAGGGCACCUGGGCCCUUAAAAGGCUUUGGCUUUUCCUUUAUGGGAUUGGAAAGCCCCAGAAGGGUUUGAGCAUCAAUCUGACUUAUAUUCUCAAAAUACAAAAGGAGUUUGCAACAUGCGUGUGGUCCCUGGAUCAGCAGAAUCAGUGGAACCUGGGAAUUUAUUAGCAGGACCCAUUCACAGACCUCACCCCCGACCCCCUGAUUCAGGGACCACACAGUGCGUUUGUCACCAAGCCCUCUGGGGAGGACAUAAAACACCGCACGCCCAGGUAUAUUUGAGUAUGUCUGAUAAACAGUGAAUAAUGUUUACGUAACCGUGCCCCAUGCAAUAUCGCAUACUUCUACAAAAAACAACAAAAAAGGACUUGUUUACCUGCAAUUCAAAUUUACCUGCGUGUCCUAUAUCUGCUAAACCUGGAAACCCUCCCGCAGAUGAUUCUGAUGUGUGCCGAAGUCUGAGAAUCACCAUUCUAGAACUGUUGAUGAGCCACCCUGGUGCCCUUCCCCUGGAUGCCGGGGCGGCCAUCCCUGGCCCCGCGAGUGCUGAUGGCUGAUGGUGCUCAGCUGCUGCCCUCCGUGGCGUGUUGCCCACAGCUGACCACAACUGCCCUCGGGACAAGCAAAAGGCUCAGAGUGUUCUUGUGCCCAGGAGUGAGGACUCUGCUAUGCGGUUUAUUCUUCCGAGUGCUCCCCCACUGCAGAUGGGCUGAGGCCACACUUCACCGAGACCCUGUCCUGGCUCUGAUCCGUCCCCUCGUGCAUUCUGUGUCCCCCCACUCCCUCACCGACGUUUCCCCCUGAAAGAACUCCUUCAGUCUGUCCCGUGCACCCACAUCCGCCUUGCAGGCCCUGCUUCGAGGGGCCGGGCGUGAGCUGCAGGGUCACUUUGUCUGCUGUUUCGAGGACAGCCUCUUGAAGCAAGAGAAGCAGUGAGGGGUUAGCGUCUUUGUGCGCGGACCCACUGGUCUGGACACAGACGUGGUGGUGUCGGGCUUAGGACACAGGAAGGAGCCACAAGCCCAGAAUUGCAGAUGGCCUCCAACACCCGAAAGAGACAAGGACACGGAUUUGACCUAAAGCCUCCCCAGGGAGGACAGCAGGGCUCUAAAUUUGGAGCUAUUUGUUACAAUCGCAAGAGGAAACUGAUCCAGGAGGAGCCAGUGUUCUCCAUCUGAGGGCGACGAUGGGAAACACAGACCCGGGCGCUGCAUCAGAGGUAUUACAGAGCUGAACUGCUUCACCUCGGAGGAAUUCAGCCUUGGAAAAAUAGCCAGAAUACUAAUUACCACCAAUUUCUGAGGACGGUUGUCUGCAAAAUAACCCAAGAGGACUUUGCCUGCAUUUAACACCUUGUCUCCUCAAGUUUCCAGUGGUCUCCACGAGCCGCAGAGGGAUGUUUUGAGGGGCAGGCCCGUUCGCUCGCCAGUCCGGUACGGGUCUGCAGUGAUAAAGGGCCCGAUGUGGAGCCCUUGAGGACCCGUGCCCUGGCGGUCCCGCACACGGGAAGGACAUAAAGAUGGGACCCAAGAGGAGCUGGGCUGGAAUUCUGUAUCCUCAAGACUCACUAGUUUGGGGCGCGGAGGCUCCAAACGCCUCUCUGCACCUGCUCCGGAGCAGCGUGGACGCGUGCGGGUCAGCGGUCAGCCUGCCCUCCCUUUAAGAGGGACUUGGCCACGAGGAGCGUGUCAGCCUCCAGCCUCCGCACCUUCGGGACCUGCUUCCGUUUUCACCCAAGGCCCUCCUUUCCUUCCCUCUGUCACCCCAUCACACUCCCCCUGGAAAAGCCCUUCUUAGCGUCUGCUCCCUGAAGACCUGGACAGUCACGCCUACACGUGGAAAAGUGCCUGUUUCAUCGGGGUGCCAAUCAGUGAGUCUUUACAAGGGGGAUGCACCCCUGUAAGCUGCACAGAUCAGGAGAAACACAUUCCCAGUGCCAGGCAAGUCCCCUGGCAUCUCCUGGCAGUUUCUACCCCCACAAAGAGGUGACCACCACCCCGACUUUAUUAGCAUAAUCUUGAUCCUGAAGCCUGAGAAAGAUCUUACGAGAAAGAAAAGAAAACAACCAGAGGCCACCGCCUCUCCUGAAGAUGGAUGCAAAAUCCUUGACAUAUAUUAGAAGAUUGAAUCCAGCCAUAUAGCCUUUUAUAGCCAAUAAUGCAUCUGGAGGCUUGGCAUCUCUCGAAACUAUUGUUUCAUUAUAAAUACAAUUUGGAAACUUCA